GGGGCCGCAAUGGUUUCGACGGGGAUCCUGAUUGGCGAUAAGCGGGUAGUGUCUGGGGAAACACUUAAAUAAGCUCCACUUAAAUUUAAACGCUAACAAUAACAGCGAACUGGCAGCUGCAUAAGCUGCGCCGCCAUUAGGCGGCCUGUCCGCCCGAAGAGCUGCCGCGGCUUCGGACGGGCAUAACAUCAGCGGCAAAAGUGAACGGCGAGUUAUCUUUUGCAGCCGUCACUGACUAAAAAGAUACCGACUUCCGUAUCCCGUCUGCCGGAGACGGAAGCGGGAAGCACAAAAGGCUGACUGCACCCGGAGAAAGUUGCAGGGAGGGGUUUUCGGACGUGGGUUCGACUCCCACCGGCUCCACCA
rnacentral:tmRNA from 1 species